AAUAAAUGAAAAAAAUAAAAAGAGAUUAAAUGUUAUAUCAUUAAAUUUAAAAGAUUUGGCGGUAUUUAAAAUUUAGAGGAAUCUGUGUAGUAAUUGAUGUUCCACGAUAAGAUUUACUUAAUAAUAAAUUUAUGUAUUGCUGUUUUUAGUAUCUAAUUAAGUUAGAUUAAAUAUAAUUUAUAAUUUAUAUUGUGUAAAAUAAUUCAAGUCAAAAUAUAGUUUUGUUAAGAUUAGUAUGGAUUACAAUUAAUUUGAUUAUUUGGAGUAAAAAAUUUAAUUUUUUUAUGAAAUAGGAUUUAAAAGUAAAUUUAAUAAAUAUAUUAAAUUGAAUAAUAGAUUAAAUAUGU
rnacentral:rRNA from 1 species